rnacentral:rRNA from 1 species
GACGAACGCUGGCGGCGUGCUUAACACAUGCAAGUCGAACGGAAAGGCCCUGCUUUUGUGGGGUGCUCGAGUGGCGAACGGGUGAGUAACACGUGAGUAACCUGCCCUUGACUUUGGGAUAACUUCAGGAAACUGGGGCUAAUACCGGAUAGGAGCUCCUGCUGCAUGGUGGGGGUUGGAAAGUUUCGGCGGUUGGGGAUGGACUCGCGGCUUAUCAGCUUGUUGGUGGGGUAGUGGCUUACCAAGGCUUUGACGGGUAGCCGGCCUGAGAGGGUGACCGGCCACAGUGGGACUGAGGUACGGCCCAGACUCCUACGGGAGGCAGCAGUGGGGAAUAGUGCACAAUGGGCGGAAGCCUGAUGCAGCAACGCCGCGUGCGGGAUGACGGCCUUCGGGGUGUAAACCGCUUUCGCCUGUGACGAAGCGUGAGUGACGGUAAUGGGUAAAGAAGCACCGGCUAACUACGUG